ensembl:lncRNA
UAUAGGAUCAGGGUUCUUGCAGUGUCAGGGAUUUAAGACUUUUUAACUCCCCCUCCCCCGCCUUUUUUCCUUGCUUGUCUGAACAGCUCUGGGCUCCCCCGGCAUCACUUCAGUGCAAGGACCCGUCUGACACUACUUAUGCCAGGUCCUGCCUCCCUCACAGGAGAAGCAGUCUGCAACUUUUGCUGCUCUAGACAACACUUCAUCUCCGAGAGGCAGAGCUCUGCAGAGCGGAUCUGGGAUACUGCAAAACGAUGGGCUUUCCUGGACUGUGAAGAGCUUGCCACUGUGCCAUGGUCCCCUGCGGAAAAGGAAGGCUGUCUGGAAGUUGCUGAGUUCUGUUUGUUUUUCCCAUCAGGAAGAGAUGGUUUUAAAAGYAGUUUAAGGGAGGUGGAAACCUCAAGCUCACGAGGUAGAAGAGCCCUGACGAACUGUAUGGGCAAAUGCAGGAUGGGUCCGUCCUCUUUCCUGUUGCUGCUGGCCCUGUUCAGCACCUUGCGGCCCUCUCCAGGAGGCUGCACUCCGAACCCUUCCCGGUUUCACUUUGCGAGUGGAAGGUGCUUGGAGAAGGGAGCAAAGGGUUCGUGCCCUUGCAGUGCAAGCUUACGGAAAUCUGUGCCCUGGGCUAAUUUGUUUUUUUUAAUAUUUUUUUUUAUGGGAACUCUUUUAAAAAACAAACAACCCAAAAGGCAAGCAUCUUCCAGAGCCGACGCUUCUCCCCUGCCCCGCCAAGUUGUGCUGUGCACCCUGGCCCCACCUUCUCUCCCUCCCGCUGCAUCUUCAUGUCACCGCAGGGAUGCGAGUGGCAUCGUGGCACUUGGUGAGCGGGGGCAGUGCUGUUUCCUGCUGCAGAAAGGGGACAGCGUCGGUGUAAAUUAGCCCGAUUUUUUGUGGGCAUUGGAAACUUCAGAGGCACUCUAUUCAUUGCUGUUAAAAGUGCUGCAGUAUUGGGUGGUCUGUAUAGAUGUCUUAUAUUAAAAGUAAUAAUAAUAAAAUAYUGCCAGUUUGGUUUUGUUUUCUGUGG